UACGAGAGGUCCAAACGUUAUUCGGAAUUACUGGGCUUACAGAGUUCGUAGGCGGCUCUACAAGUGAGGUGUGAAAGCCCUCGGCUCAACCGAGGAACUGCGCUUCAAACUGUAGAACUAGAGGGAGAUAGAGGUGAGUAGAACUGAUGGUGGAGCGGUGAAAUGCGUUGAUAUCAUCAGGAAUACCGGAGGCGAAGGCGGCUCACUGGGUCUCUUCUGACGCUGAGGAACGAAAGCUAGGGGAGCAAACGGG
rnacentral:rRNA from 1 species